AAUAGGGUGCAAUUACCUUAACAUGGUAUAAUGUCAUCAGCUGAGCUAUCAGCCGCUGAGCUCACCCUGCUUGCUAAGUGAAAGAUGUUGACCUGAAUCAUCUUCACUGAAAGUUAACUUUCAUCUGGGAUGGGAAAUGGUGGGCAGUGCUCAUCAUCAGUUACAACAACUGAAGGAACAGGUCAGAACUCACUAAGCCCAUCAUACUGCUGAGUCUAGUACCUGUAAGCUGUCAAACAGACUUAAACGGGCAGAUUGUGGAUAGCUGGCUAUUGAAAGAGCUCUAAAAUUGGUAAAUCUGUAACUUAUUCUUUGAGCUUAAUGAGAUGCUGACUUCAGGUUGUAGAUUUCUUGUAAAGAUCUUGAAUCAUUGCAAGCACACUGUUAGGCUAGGAUAAUAAUCUUUGUGGUGAUAGCUGAUGUUUAAAAGUGGAGAACUAGGUCUGAUAUGAUAGUGAAUUGGGAACCAGACAUCAGUCCUUUUUCUGUCACUCAUUUGCUUUGUUGACUUGGACAAUUCUGCUUGAACAUCUCUGCUUCAUUCUCCUUAUUCAGAAAAUAAGAUUGAUAGUUCCUGAAAAGUGUGUUGCCAUGCGUAGUUGCGAUGCAUUUUUUGUAAAGCACUUGGAAGAUGAAAAGGAGUGUUCAAGAAAAAGUCUGUGGCCUUGCUUCUCUUGUUCCUCCUUAAUAUGCUGUCAUGCACCUAAUGAGAAAACUCCUGACUCAGCAGAAGGUGUGCCCUCACUUCUCAAGCUUCAUGACUUCUGUUCAUGCAGAAUCAUACCAGCGUAACUGUACAAUAACAGUUACAUUGUUAAUUGCUUAGCUGGCAGGGGAGGAGGAGGGAAUGGACUCCAGCUUACACCAACAGUUUACUGCUAAAACCUAUCUUAUGCUAGUGUAUCCAUGUGUGCAACUGCACUCAGCUUGGGGUCCUGUUGGUAACUUCCAGAGUAGGUGCUCAGCAAGCAUAAUUGCUUCUGUAAGUAGCUUAAGUUAUGUAUCACUUUGUUCCACGAAUGUGAAGCUCAUGUGAAUACUGUAUUACCUGUGGCAAUGCAGACAGUCCUUCAUUAAUAAUACAAGAACACUCUGAGUUUUCUGGUCCUGACACGAGAAGGAGCAGUGCAAGUCCACUGCCAAAUUACUGCAGGAAUAAAGAUGCUUAUUUAGGUGUUGCAAAAGACUUGCAGAAACUCAAUAUAGCAGAGAGUAUCAAAAGUGCUGGACAAAGGAGAGAACUGGCAACUGUCACACCAGCUGAAGAACAGAAUAAGUGUGAAUCUGGGGCUGCUCUUCUGUCCUGUUGUGGUUGCGCAGAGCCGUAUGCCAGGAUGGGCAUGUCACAGCAGGGGACAUUGGGCACAUCACAGCACCGUUCUGGAAGGAGCCGUGAAAGUGCAGGCUGACAAUGAGCUUGUGGAGUUGGGGUCACAAAAUUCAGAUGCUGCGGAGAGCUGAUGGCUCCUUGAAACUCAACUUAUCCAACCUCAGAUGAAUCCAGAAAUGGUAUCGCCCUGGGAGAAAGAAUGGAGCUCAGAGGCUUCAGAUGGGGAAUUUGGAGAGGCACCUUCUUCACACCUGUGGAAAACUUCACAUGAGAGGAAGAAAGGAUAAUGUAUUCUCCAAAGUUUUCAAGAGCACCAAACCAAGAUUUCUGUGAAACAAUGCAGUGUUGGGGGGGAUGCCUGCUUGAAGGAAGGCAGAACUGGAGAGGGACGCAGGAAUGUGGAUGAAGACCUUAAGCAUCUCUAGAGAGGGCAAAUGUAGAUUCAACAAAGCUUUAUGAGACAAAACGUCCUGAGAUGUAUACUCCAACAGGUCAGCUGUGCAGCCCACUGUCCUCAUGGAGCUUUCCCUGUACAUGUAUCUGCUGGCCAAGUGACCAGGGUAACAUGCCACAAUUUCCCUUCUGCACAGCCCCGGUGGAAAAUCAGAAUAGUGAUGAGUAUUUGUAUUCUGACCUCAGAAUUGGGUAGAAACAACAUGAAAUUUCCCCUGUUUUUCUAGCCUGAUUAUCUUUAGGAACAAGACAUGGGAAAUCAGGGCACGUCUCUUUUUGUCUGCUGGUUUGCAUACCUCUAGAGAGUUCUCUCUCUUCCCCCUCUUACUUUUGGACUAGUCUUGGCCAGUUUCAAGAAAAACUUAAUAGAUUAAUGGGAAUCUCAAAGCCUGUAAAGUUUUUACAACAUUUGGGAAGAGAGGUGACCCAGCAGGUGAUAGAAUCCAGACAGGAGAGAGGCCUUUUGGAGAUCCAAACCAGGAAGAUGGCUUUAACUGAAGUUCAUGCCUGGUUUUAUGCAAAAGUCAAUCAGUCACAAGAAAUGAAGCUAUAAGAAACCAUGAUCUGUUCUUUGUGGUGCUCACAGACCAACUUCUUAAGUGACUGUAAAUGUUUUGAGAAGUGUUUUUUAUCACUGCUCAAUAAAGUUGUUGCAUGU